AGGUGCGAUCAUACCAGCGUUAAUGCACCGGAUCCCAUCAAAACUUUGCAGUUAAGAACGCUUGGGCUAGAGUAGUACUGGGAUGGGUGACCUCUUGGGAAGUCCUAGUGUUGCACACU
rnacentral:rRNA from 1 species